rnacentral:lncRNA from 1 species
CUUAAUUUUUUUGAAUGAAUGUUAGAUCUGAAUUUGUUUUUUCUCUUCAAAAUAUAUCUUAGCACUAUUAAGAUGGAUAUUUGCACAUGAAAAAUACUAGAAGAGUAUAAACAAACCUCGAAAAUGUGGGUUAUUUCCAGUUUUUUCUCUUGUUUUUCGAGUUCUUAUUGGUUUUGUUUGAUUUGAGUAUUCCUCUCUCGAUUUCUUUGAAUGGAUGAUCGAUUUAGGUUCGUUUUGAUGGAUCUUCGCGUGAAGAAAAAAAAAUUUCAAACAGUUAGGGGGGUUGGUAAUGGAUGAUCGAUUUAGGUUCGUUUUGACGGAUCUUCGCAUGAAGAAACAUAAAUUUCAAAAAGUUAGGUGAGUUGUUCUUCAUGUUCUUCGUAUUCUUGUGGAUUUGAUUGUUUUGGAAUUUUUAUGCUCGUCGUUAUGCUCUUUGUUCAUUAUUUCUGGGUUUAUUGUGUCAGAUACAAGCGUUUUGUUCACAUCCCACAGGUCGUGGUGGUACGUUUGUUUCACUGUCUCAUACGAAUGUUUUGUUCACGUCGCCUAGAAGAAUGCAUGACGUGGUAAUUCAUUUAUUUUCACUUGCCGAUACGGACAUUGUGUUCACGACCCAUUGGGACGAGCGGAGGCGUUGGUAGUAUGUUUGCUUUCACUGUCUCAUACGAACGGAUAG